UUAUAGACAAUUUAAACAUAAACUUUUGUUCCAAAAGUCAUAAAAAUAAAAAACAUUUUCCUUAAUUUCUAAGACCGCUAGGAAAACAGGAACAGGAAACAGACUAGAAAUAAAACAGGAACUAGAAAUAUACAAAACCAAAUAAAUGUAUUCAUUUAUAUAAUAUAUAUAAUAUAUAUAUUAUAAUAAUAUAUAAAUUAAAAAAACGUGAAAACUGCAACCAUGUCUGACAUAAUGUAUUACAUACAGAGCACGAACACAAAUUAACAUGCAGGCGCGGGGACGAUAAUGCUGCUUUUUGAAACAAACAAGCCAAAAUGACAUGUGACGACGCGACAGACACCUCCACACAGGCACGCCGGCGCCGCACAGAUUUACGCUAUUUGGUAGAUCCAAAUUAUAUACCAAUCUACGGGAGUACAAAGUAGUUGAGUUAACGACAAGGAUCAUUGAAGUUAAUUUAAGAUGUCUUUGGCCCAAUACUACUGGGUAAUUCUCUGAACAAUUUAGACAUUGCAUUAAUAACAUGGUGUAUUGUGACAGUAAUAGUUGUGUUUUAAAAAAAUUAAAUAUAUUUUAAAUUAAUUACUGAAUAA